rnacentral:tRNA from 1 species
CAAGUCAGUGGCUAUCUCGUCCGCCUGAAAAGCGGAAGGUCGCCGGUUCGAUCCCGGCCCUGGCCA